UUCAUUCAUUCAUGUACUGGAAAACUCUGAAUCAAAGAAGCCCUAGCCGGCUAGCCCUCCAUCGUCGCCGCCUAACCCAGGUCCUCAGCGCCGCCGCUGCUUCCUCUUCCCCGUGUCGUUUUCAUCUUCGCUGGUACAUCGUUUUCAUCUUCCUCUUCCCCAGGUGGCUCGGCACGUCGUUUUCAUCUUCGCUGUCUUCUCUGCACGGAACCCAGAACCUUGUAAAGAUGUCACACAGCUUGAGGUCCCUCAGAAGGCUCUUCACUCUCACCCCCAAACCCUCCUCCUCCGUCAUCUCCACGUGCCGCCACGUCUCCACGGAGACACGCUCCGAGAAGCUGGAGUGGAUUGCCUACGAUCUCCUCCUCCUCGACAGGCUUGAGCGCCACGACUUCUCCGGAGGCUCAAAUUGGGCCUCGACCGAUUCGCUGGCCCAGCCGCGGAUCUCGGCCCAGUUGGCCCAGCAUCAGGUGCUGGUAGUGCGGGGGCGGAUGCUAGUGCGGGAGCGGCGGCGGAGGAGAAGACGGUGUUCGAUAUAAAGCUGGAGAAAUACGAUGCCGCAUCGAAGAUAAAGAUCAUAAAGGAAGUUAGGGCUUUCACCGAUUUGGGGCUUAAGGAAGCGAAGGAUUUGGUCGAGAAGGUUCCUUGCGUCUUGAAGAAGGGUCUCACUAAGGACGAAGCUGAUCCCAUUCUCCAGAAGCUCAAAGAUUUGGGUGCCACUGUUGUAUUGGAUUGAUUCCCAAUUCUUUUUUUUCUUUUUGGUUGUAGAAUCAUUCAUCACUUGCCUCCAUAGCUUCAUUUUCAUUAAAAUGUGAUGAUAAUGUGAUUUUUAGUUCUCAAAUACAAAAGUUAUAUGAACAUAAUAAGGACUUAGAACGAUAAUGAAUAAUUUUCACUAUAACAGUAAAAGGAAACAUAAACCAACCAUGGUCUAAGUUUAAGAGAGUUUAUUAGUUUAUAACUUAUUGUUAUUAUUUUCU